GUAGCCCUUGAAUCUCUCCCAGGCUUCACUGAAUCCUUCUAAGUUCUUCUGUUGAAAACUGGAAAUCUCAUUUC
rnacentral:snoRNA from 1 species